CUGCUGUGAUGUGAGCUGAGCAUC
rnacentral:miRNA from 1 species